UGUGAAAUUCAAUUUUUAUCUUUUACCUUUUUGCGAUGUGGGUUUUUUUUUUUUUCUGAAUGGUUAAGAAGGAUAUUUAUUUGUUUGGCUUUGUCACUUAUAUACAUAACCAGCAUAUUUUUUUCCCUCUGGCUUUCUAUCCCGACUUCAAGUGUUCAAUUUUGUGAUGUUUCUGACAGAGGCAGUGGUGACCAGUGUGCUCCAGACCUUGUCCUUUGUGCUGCUGCCUCUGGGCCAUGGAGUCCCAGCAAACACCUCAUACAGUAUCUCCCCCACAGGUGUUCCUGCCCAGAAAAUCCAGACCACAAGAAACUGCAAGAAACCAAAUCAAACCAGAUAGGCCCAAGAUGGCGGACAAAAUAGGCCAAAGUUCACAUUAUUCCUUCAUUAUACAAUGUUAACAUACUAAAAUCUCCUUCCUAAGAGUGCCAUGACAGGAAACCCCUGACCAAAUAAGCAAUAAAAAAGGAUGCGGCCUAAGUUCCUGGAAAUUU
rnacentral:lncRNA from 1 species